GGCCACGUGGCGGAGUGGUUACGCGCCGGUCUGCAAAACCGUUUACUCGGGUUCGAGUCCCGACGUGGCCUCCA
rnacentral:tRNA from 39 species